rnacentral:snRNA from 1 species
GUUUCGGGCAUAUGGUCAACUGAAAAUAUACAGAGAAGAUUAGCAUGGCCCCUGCACUAAGGAUGACACGCUCAAUCAAAGAGAAGCAACCAAUUUUU